GUUUGAUGGAAGCAAGAAACAAAAUCGACUCUUCAGUUUUGAAAUACACAGGAAGACUGGCUUCCGUCUUGUGGCACUCUCUUGUUUUCUUGCCUGCUGGCCGCAUCCAAACAACGAUCGUGUGUGAGCUACCCUAAAGAGAAUCACACGUGGUGAUGAACUGACAGAGGCCUCCAGCCAAUAGCCAAUGAGGAACUGAGGCCCUCAGUGCCACAGCCCAUGAGGAACCGAUCCUGCCCCCACCACUGAUUUCACUUCGAAGUGGAUCCUGACCCGUUGGAAUCUUGAGAUGAGCCCACAGCUGUGGCCGACACCUUGGUUGCAGUCUGUGAGAGGCCGUCAGCCACGCCUGGAUUCCUGCCCCACUGAAACUGUUGGGGGUGGACGGAAGAACAAAGGUGCAGAAGGAGGCGGGAAAAGACACAGACGCAAGCUGAGGCGGCCGUGUGAAAUACCACAGGAGUUCAGGAUAUGAAAUCAGGCUAGGGUCUCAGGUUCCCUUCACCCCGCCAUGUGGCCUCGAAGAUGGUGUUCAGCGCUGCUGGGUCCCUGUGUCUUCGUCUCUACCCUAGGCAUGGCACACUUUUCCUCUCUAUCGUGCAGCGAAGAGUAAAUCCAAAAGCACAUGGAAGGAGACUAGGACAGGGCCUUUGUUAUUUGUGCCAAACGCACCUUCACCGGGUGCCCCCCGCGCCAGGGCCACGGGCCAUGGCGCUGGGCACGAGCCCUACCCUCCGGCGUGGUGGCAGGCCAGCAGGCAGUAUACGUUGUCGCAGGUGCACACAUCGCAGGUGCAACAAGAGAGCAGGACUUUUCCUAGACUGGAGGUCAGAGAAGAAGGUAGGGUGAGAGCAUGUGCAGAGAUGCUGAGGCCAGACAGUGCCUGGAGGGUGCUGAAAUUGAAGGGCCCUCCGUUUGAACGUGCCAGAGGAAACGAGUGUCCCGGAAUGGCAGGAGCCAGCCCAGGCAGGGUCUCAGGCCAGCUGAGGCCAAUGGACUGAUUCCAGGGCCAUAGGGAGUCAUUAAAGGCAAUCAAUCAAGGGAUGGGGGCGGGCAGGCGUAGCUGAGGGCGCAAGAAACAUCUUACAACAUCUUGUGUUUUCUCAAAUUCUUUCCAUUUCCUUUGGGGCAGGAGGAGCUUAGUUCUGGAAACCGGGAAGCAGACCAAAGAGGGGACUGGAUAACUCAGGGGCAGAUGAGACAUCAGUUCAUAUUUCAAAGAUUUUUGCCUGUCACACUUGCUUUGGUGGAGAAGUGUCUCUUCUCUGUUACUCAUCCCACAGCUCUCCAGACUUCACCGCUGGCUCUUGGAAGUCCUGGGACACUUUCUGCUCACAUCACAGAACUUAGGCCCAAUGAUUACUUUAUGGUAACAAACCAUCAUUUUAUAGGGCCUGCCCUUUGCCCAAGCUCAUGCUAGGAGCUUACAAGAGUGUGGCCUUCCCAUAUCACAAACUUGGAUCUGAAUUCCAGGUCCACCUUGUCAAGGGGUCUGUGCUUGGGGCAACUUGGGUCUUCUCAGCUGUAAAAUGGGGUAUGAGCUGGUACCUCCCGGGGUUGUUGGAGGAUUGGGACGCUUCUCAGCAUUACCUUUUACUCACUAGGUCAGCAUCAAUACAUAGUAUAUGUUAGGGUAUUAGCUAGGACUCAUUCAUGCAUUCAUUGAUUCUCUCCACAAAUAUCAUCCCGGACAGCUGUGAUGUGUAAGCCAUGAUAGGCUGUCUUAGAAGUUAGGGAUACAAUGGUGAAUUUUCCUUCAGGAAUCUACAAUCUAGUGACAGUGUAACGAGGGUCAACAAAUGCUUUUUGGGAAAGGCCAGAUAGUAAAUAUUUUUGCUUUUGGGGGGCCCAAGAGACAAAAUGGAGUGAAACCCAUGUCGCCAACUUGAAAGGGUGCCUGUAGCCUUUUCAUAUUAGCUCCUUUCACUUAGUAAUAUGCAUUUAAGAUUCCUCCAUACCCUUUCAUGGCUUGCUAGCUUGUUUCUUUCUCGUGCUGAGUAAUAUUCAAUUGUCCGGAUGGACCACAGUUUCCACUUGCCUACUGAAGGACAUCUUGGUUGCCUUCAUGUUUUGGUAACCAUGAGUAAAGCUGUUAUAAACAUC